rnacentral:rRNA from 1 species
AACGAACGCUGGCGGCAGGCCCAACACAUGCAAGUCGAACGACCCUUCGGGAUAGUGGCGGACGGGUGAGUAACGCGUGGGUAUCUGCCCUGGAGGUGGGGAACAACCGCUGGAAACGGCGGCUAAUACCGCAUACGCCUCGUAAGAGGGAAAGCUUUAUGCGCUCCGGGAGGAUCCCGCGUCCGAUUAGCUAGUUGGCGGGGUAACGGCCCACCAAGGCUACGAUCGGUAGCUGGUCUGAGAGGAUGAUCAGCCACACUGGGACUGAGACACGGCCCAG